CUCUCCCCCACCCCCCCGGCUUCCUAGGUUUUGCUCACAGCAAAGGACAGGGAGGAAAGGGAGAGAGUCAGGGACUUGGUCCUUCCUCUUCUUACCCAUGGGUGUCUCUACAUCACUGCAAACAAUUGCAGCUCAACCUCCAGCAGGCAUCUGGUGCUUGGAAACCAAGUGGAAGCAAUGGUCUGAUGACAGCCACUGUGGGGAAAGUCCACCUGAGCCCAGAAGGGGGCGCUGCUGAUUCGGCUGGUGAAGAGCACCUUGUGGGCAGACAGCAGGUUCAGAACACACAGCGGGACAGACAUAGGCCCUAUGCAGCAUCCAGGCCACUUCAGGCACAUGAAACCAGUUUUGAGAACUGCAGUCUGUCAGUCCUGGAACCCAAUCUGUAGACCAGGCUGGGCGGAUGGAGCUGCAGUCAGUCAGCUCCAUUAUUCUGUGGUCCCCGAUGAGUCUGAUGAUGACGGGAGCAUGUGACAGAGCGGAGCUGAGGUAAUGUAAAAUGUAAAAACAAAUAAGCCUAGAGAAAGACAUUGCUGAGGCCCCACAGUCCCCUUCAGGGCCGCCCCUCCUGUGACCUGAGGAUUUCCCCCCAGGCUCCACCUCUAAAAGGCUCCACCGCUUUUCAAGCUGGGGGCCAGCCUCUGGGGAGCAGGCAGCGUUCAAGUGAUAUCGAUGAAGGAGAAACUUAUAGUAAAACUGAUGCCAUAAAGAAUUUACUAAUGGAUGGGGGCUGGAGAGAUGGCUCAGUGGUUAAGAACACUGACUGUUCUUCCAGAGGUCCUAAGUUCAAUUCCCAGCAACCACAUGAUGGUGGUUCACAACCAUCUAUAAUGAGGUCUGGUGCCCUCUUCUGGCCUGCAGACAUAUAUGCAGACAGAACACUGUACACAUAAUAAAUAAAUAUUUUUUUAAAAAAAAUUUACUAAUGGCACUGGGCAAUGAUAGCACACACCUUUAAUCCCAGCACUCAGGAGGCAGAGGCAGGUGGGUCUCUGGGAGUUCCAGGCCAGCCCAGCCUGGUCUACAGAUUGGGUUCCAGGAUAGCCAGGGUUACACCCUAUCUUGAAAAACCAAAAAAGAAAAGGGGGGGGGAGAAGGAAGAAAAAUAAUUCACCAAUGAACUUACUCGGGAGAUACUAAGUUACACAAGCAGAAUUUAGCUAAAGGAGAAUGGCCUCCAAGAUGACUAGAAGGCAGUGAGCUAACCAGGUUGGCUAGAAACCCCAAGAAAGAAAAUUCUGAACCAUAACUGAGGUUCAGGGUUGCUGAGAAAGUUUCUGCUGGUGUUUAUUCAUCAAGAUUGACCUGCAGUGAAGCCCCAUUCCCAUAAUGAAAGGAGACAUCCCUGACUUACAGCCAGCCAGCCGGGCCAUCCUCGUAUCAGAGAACAUGCCUCUAAUGAGCAACACCAGGGGGCAGGGCAGGGUCACAGCCAUCUGUAAGCCCUGGUCUGUCCUGAAGUCCCCUGUGUCCUCUCAGGAAAAGCAUCAUCCUGCCCGGUGGGCAAAAUGAAGUGGGGUAGAAACUGUUGAAAAAGAACAGCACUGGUGUACUUAACAGAUUCUGACAACACCUUUGCCGUGCCAAUCUCCCGUCCGCCUGCGUGGCCAGACUUGCAAUCUCCUGUCCCUGUUUAAAUUGUUCAACGUGUAACCUGGGGUCGUGGCCUUAAAGAUGACUGUGUAUGUGGACUGCCGGAACCUCAGGUGUAGAUAAAACCUUUUUUGAGGCCACCUUCUCUUUGGGUGUUAGCCAGAGUCAGACAUGCGCUAUUUUGUAAAAGAGCCUUUUCCUCUCUUAAUCUCUAAGUGUGUAGGGUGAUUUCUCACUGGGAAGGCGUGGCCCAAGAACAACAGCGCCCACUUACUAUGUUUAAACAGUUUUGUUGUGGUGACACACAUAUGCCCAGUUCACCUGUGGUAGCUGCCCUGCAGGACGGCUGUGACAGGCCAGUGACAAGGACAAUGGAGGAGCUCCCAAGGCAGAGGCAGAAGUAGGAGUUAAUUACAUGCAUCAUGAUGCAGCUGCCGCAGGCGAGGCAGUAGCCGGAGGCUGCUUGGAGGAAUGCUAAGGACUUGCUCUCAUCUGAGCCCGUGGACAGUCAGGUGAUGCUUCAGUGCAGUUAGCAUUUAGCACGUUGACAGCAUCACAUAACCAUGACAUUCUCACCAAAGAAAACCACACCCAUCGGCAGUGGCUGCUCAUGCCCCCUCUCCUCACACCCCCCUCCCCAAAACCACAGACUUGCUUUCCAUGUCUGUGGAUCCUUCUCUUCAGGACUUGUCAUAGAACUGGAAUCUCAUGGGUGGCCUUUGUCCGACUUGUUUAGUUGAACACAAGGUCUUCAAGGUUCACCUAGGUUGACAUGUGUCAAACCCCAUUCCUUUUUAAGGGUUGUAUAAUGUUCUCCAGGGUGAAUCUACAGUUAUGGGGUACCUGAAGAGAGAAACUCCUGAGAUGCCUAACUAAGUCAUAUGGAGUCCUUGUUCACCGCUGAAGGGGCUGUCCCAGUCAGAAGAGCAGGAAGCAGCCUCAACCCCCCAUUUGUUUAAGUUUUUAAAGGCAAUAAUGAUGUGGUGGUUUGAAAGAAAAUGGUCCCCAAAGGGAGUGGCACUAUUAGGAGGUGUGGCCUUGCUGGAGUAGGUGUGGUCACUGUGGAGGCUGGCUUUGAGGUCUCAUAUAUGCUUAAGCCACGCCCAGUGAGUCAGUCUGCUUCCUGUGCCUUUUGAUCAAGAUGUAGCCAGCACCUUGUCUGCCUGCAUGCUGCCAUGUCCCACCAUGAUGAUAAUGGACUAAACCUCUGAAACUGUAAGCAAGCCACCUCAAUUAAAUAUUUUCCUUUAAAAGAG